GAAGUGAGCCAAACGAUCGCUGCCGUCUAAGUCUUCGUGACCGAAACGGGGGAGGAAAGUCCGGGCUUCGCAGGGCAAGGUGCCAGAUAACGUCUGGGCGGCGUGAGCCGACGGCAAGUGCAGCAGAGAGCAGACCGCCAUAAUGUUUCGACAUUGUGGUAAGGGUGAAAGGGUGCGGUAAGAGCGCACCGCAUGUCUGGUAACAGUUCAUGGCAAGGUAAACCCCACCUGAAGCAAGACCAAAUAGGAAUCCUGAGGUACGGCCCGUACUGGAUUCGGGUAGGUUGCUGGAGCGUAUGAGUAAUUGUACGCCUAGAGGAAUGAUCGUUCUCGACAGAACCCGGCUUAUCGGCUCACUUCUUAA
rfam:Acinetobacter rudis CIP 110305 genomic scaffold acVBL-supercont1.2, whole genome shotgun sequence.